AUUGAACGCUGGCGGCAUGCCUUACACAUGCAAGUCGAACGGUAACGGGUCCUUCGGGAUGCCGACGAGUGGCGAACGGGUGAGUAAUAUAUCGGAACGUGCCCAGUAGUGGGGGAUAACUGCUCGAAAGAGCAGCUAAUACCGCAUACGACCUGAGGGUGAAAGGGGGGGAUCGCAAGACCUCUCGCUAUUGGAGCGGCCGAUAUCAGAUUAGCUAGUUGGUGGAGUAAAGGCCUACCAAGGCAACGAUCUGUAGUUGGUCUGAGAGGACGACCAGCCACACUGGGACUGAGACACGGCCCAGACUCCUACGGGAGGCAGCAGUGGGGAAUUUUGGACAAUGGGCGCAAGCCUGAUCCGGCAAUGCCGCAUGCAGGAAGAAGGCCUUCGGGUUGUAAACUGCUUUUGUCAGGGAAGAAAUCUUCUGGGCUAAUACCCCGGGAGGAUGACGGUACCUGAAGAAUAAGCACCGGCUAACUACGUGCCAGCAGCCGCCGCCG
rnacentral:rRNA from 1 species